rnacentral:rRNA from 1 species
GUGCCAGCAGCCGCGGUAAUACGAAGGGGGCUAGCGUUGUUCGGAAUUACUGGGCGUAAAGCGCGCGUAGGCGGAUUGGUCAGUUAGGGGUGAAAUCCCAGGGCUCAACCCUGGAACUGCCUCUAAUACUUCCAGUCUAGAGUUCGAGAGAGGUGAGUGGAAUUCCGAGUGUAGAGGUGAAAUUCGUAGAUAUUCGGAGGAACACCAGUGGCGAAGGCGGCUCACUGGCUCGAUACUGACGCUGAGGUGCGAAAGCGUGGGGAGCAAACAGGAUUAGAUACCCCGGUAGUCCC